AUCCAUUUCAUUUUGAUCAAACCAUACACAACACUUUCAGCCGACACCCCAUCUAGUUUCCCUCCCAUUUUCUCUAACCCACUUACCUUAUCCAAACAAAAAGAAAACACAGACAUCAACCUUCAUCUUCUUCAAAGAAAUCCCUCCAUACACACAGAGAGGCAGUCGAAUGCCUGGCCCCCUUCACUCUCCUCUCCUUCUCGAUUCCUCUCUACAACACAACAGGAGAUUCAAGCUUUCAAACAUCAUCCACAGCCAAACAACCCCACAGGCGGACUGGCUAACGUUUACCGGCUGAUGGUCGGCGCUGUUCUUCCGACGACAACCCCCCCCCUCUCGUUCUCUCUCACUCGAUGUCCAAGUCGGACCGGCUCUGGCUAUAUUCCUUCAAUGACAACGAUGAUGAUGAUGGUUGUGAUAGAAGAUGGAGGCGCGAAGGAGGAGGAGCCGCCACCCCUCCACGGUGGUGCAGGGCGGCGACAGCCGCGAUUCAGCGGCGGCGGCGACGUUCAGUGACGGAUCAGGCGGCUCCGACCAAAAGCUCCGUGUUCUGGUUCAGGGUGGUUGUCGACACGGGUCUCGGUUCCAGAUGCAAGCUCAAGCCCGGGAUGCAAACUCGCUUAAAGUAUGGUGUGAUUCAGUCAGAUUUCAGUUCCGGACCAAAUCGGUCAACGAAGUCAGCCGGUUAACUCGGGUCAACUUAGUUUGGGCCCGGGUCAACUCAGUCAACCGUCGAGUCAACUGGUCAAAGCAAGCCUACCCGGUCAACUCAGUUUGUUUCGGUCAACAGUGGUCAACGGCUGGUCAACAAUGGUCAAGUUGGGUUCGGGUCAAGCACUGAUCGGACGGGUCAGAUUCACGGGUCAGUUUCGAGUUUGUGUUCGAGUCUCGGUCAAACAGGUUUCGAGGUUCGAGUAAGCUAUGGUUAAACCGAGUCAACUCGGGUCAACUACGAGUCAACUCAGUCAACAGAUGGUCAACGAAAGACCCGGUAAAGUUGUUAGCAUAGCGGGAACACUAUAGAUGCACGCUAGCUACUUCACAUUCUUGGAAUGACAUCACGAAAUCACGUUAAGCUAGCUUUGCACAGGAAUGUCAAGGUUGCAUUUUCAAAACUAUGGAACGGUUGGAAUAGGAGAACCCAUGAGAAUUUGAGUACUUAGCAGGCGUUCAAUUUCUAGAAGUCUUAGCUAUUUGCUUCCGUUGUGCAAUGAAGAUACCAGUCCAGUCACGCCAACUCUGAUAUUUCGGGGUGUGACAGAAUGAUGAUUCAACGGCUGUAUUUCUCUGCUAUAGUUCUUGGUUAAGGCUAAAAUGAGUGUUAACUCCUGGUCAGGCUCAUCUAAUACUCAUGAUAAAUGAUUACUCGGCUAAGUGGGAGAAUGUGAGAUUAAAUAUAUAAUUAUUAUAAUAUUUAAUCCUGUAGCCAUUAUAAUCAUUUAUAUUAUGUAGAUCAAAAUAUAUUAAUAACCUAUUAAUAAUUAGUUGGUAAUUGUCGAUGGACCAUAUUACCCUUAUUAACUAAUUAGGUUUCCUCUUGAGUGUAUAUAUAAGCAGAUUAUUAGAGAGUUUAAGGGUUACACAAGUUAGACAAUUACACAAUUCACACAACCCUCAUAACAUCAAUUUCGGCUCUCCCUCCAUAACCGAUUCCUUCCCUAGUUUCGGUUCAUCACCAUCAUAAUCUUACACCCUAAGGAGGAACCAGAUCAUCCUGACAAGUAUGUCAAACUCAAUGGCUGCAUCUCUGACUGAAUUCUCUGCUGGCCUGUCUGCUGUAAAAGAUAUGUUAUUCAUGUUUUCCAUUAUGUUUAAAUAGAACUGAUCAACAGAUAGUUGAAGAAGUGGAUUCAGAUGAUAGUAACAACUAUCAUCUUUAGUAGCAAUCACCGCAUUUUGUGUAUGUUCCCUAAAACAGCCAUUUUCAUAUACUAGGUGAGAAUCUCAUCUUUAUCCGAGUGGGAAAGCAAACCGGGUCCGAGCGUGCCCGCACGACUGGGGCAUGUUCUUUGUUGAUUGGGAGAGUAAACCGGGUGAUGGUUACUUGCGCCCAAAUCUGAUGCAAUAUUUGAGACCAUACCCCUUCAAACCCCAAAGAAAAUUAUCCAAUAGAUUAAAGCUAACAACGUGGUUACCUCGAGUAGUCUCCCUUCUAUGCCCAAUUUUUACUAUAUACGAUUUAUCUCCUUUGUGUAACCAAGAUGGAAAGAUCACCUUAUUUUAAUAAUCAGUAGCUAAAUUAUUAAAGGAAGAAUAACUUUUGUUGGGUUUAAUCUUGAUUACGGGUCAAGUACGGUUUAACGAGUACGACUCAAUGGAUAGUGGUUUUAAAGGAACGUGGAGGUGCAUGUGAUGAAGAGUUGGUCAGCCAUUGACCGAGUUUAUUGCUAAAUUAACGUGGGUUAUUGAUAGUAGGACUUCAGUUUUGUUUUUUUGUUAUAAAUAGCGUGUCUGUAGCUUUGUAUUCCUUUUGUACUCUCAAUUUCAUCAAGAAAGUUUGUAAGCAUUCCUUGUGU